rnacentral:lncRNA from 1 species
UGUAAUCAUAUCUUUAAUUGCACGUCUAUGAGACGAAGUGAUGAUGCCAAGUCUUUCGAUUUUUGCAUUCGUAGUUCUCGUUAUCUCCUUAUGAAAGAAAACACUACACAAACCUGGUUUGCACCUUUUCUAAGGAAUCAAUCAAGUACUUUCUUGCAGGAUUCCACAUCUCAGAUCCGUACAUUAAAACCAGGAGGACAUAAAGUUACGAUUCUUUAUAAUGUAUUGAAUAUGCCUCUUAAAUUUCGAAUCAUGGGAGAUGUAGAUUCCUAAGUCCAAAAAAUGUGUGCUCCCUGGAUGGAUAUAAAAAAAGAGCAACGAAAAGAUUCAUUUAAUUCCUGGACAAGAAUAAUAAUUAGAUUUCAAUCAUCGAUUGGAGUAAUCAGUUUUUGUUUAUUUUCUAUUUUUUUAUUUGACCACUGAUUCGAACAUUAAACCGAUGAAACCGUUCCAA